CCUACGGGAGGCAGCAGUGAGGAAUAUUGGUCAAUGGGCGCGAGCCUGAACCAGCCAAGCCGCGUGAGGGAAGACGGUCCUAUGGAUUGUAAACCUCUUUUGUCGGGGAGCAAAAGACGCCACGCGUGGCGUUCCGAGAGUACCCGAAGAAAAAGCAUCGGCUAACUCCGUGCCAGCAGCCGCGGUAAAACGGAGGAGGCGAGCGUUAUCCGGAUUUGUUGGGUUAAAGGGGUGGGAAGGCGGAAGAUCAAGUCAGCGGGAAAAUUGAGAGGCUCAACCGCGUCGAGCCUUUGAAACUGGUUUUCUUGAGUGAGCGAGAGGUAGGCGGAAUGCGUGGUGUAGCGGUGAAAUGCAUAGAUAUCACGCAGAACUCCGAUUGCGAAGGCAGCAUACCGGCGCUCAACUGACGCUCAUGCACGAAAGUGUGGGUAUCGAACAGGAUUAGAUACCCCAGUAGUC
rnacentral:rRNA from 1 species